UACAGAGGGGGCAAGCGUUGUUCGGAAUUACUGGGCGUAAAGGGCGCGUAGGCGGCCUUCUAAGUCGAACGUGAAAUCCCCGGGCUCAACCUGGGAACUGCGUUUGUGACUGUAUGACUAGAGUACGGUAGAGAGGGGUGGAAUUCCUGGUGUAGCAGUGAAAUGCGUAGAUAUCAGGAGGAACAUCGAUGGCGAAGGCAGCCCCUUGGACCUGUACUGACGCUCAUGCACGAAAGCGUGGGGAGCAAACAGG
rnacentral:rRNA from 1 species